rnacentral:rRNA from 1 species
CGAAACCUUUACAAUGCUGGCAACAGCGAUAGGGGGACCUCGAGUGCCAUCGUACAACGAUGGCUGUCGUGAUGCCUAAAAAGCAUUAUAUAGCAAGGGCCGGGCAAGACCGGUGCCAGCCGCCGCGGUAACACCGGCGGCUCGAGUGGUAACCGUUAUUAUUGGGUUUAAAGGGUCUGUAGCCGGCCGGAUAAGUCUCUUGGGAAAUCUGGCAGCUCAACUGUCAGGCUUUCAGGAGAUACUGUCUGGCUCGAGACCGGGAGAGGUGAGAGGUACUUCAGGGGUAGGGGUGAAAUCUUGUAAUCCUUGAAGGACCACCAGUGGCGAAGGCGUCUCACCAGAACGGAUCUGACGGCAAGGGACGAAAGCUAGGGGCACGAACCGGAUUAGAUACCCGGGUAGUCCUAGCCGUAAACAAUACUCGCUAGGUGUCGGCUACGGUGCGACCGUAGUCGGUGCCGUAGGGAAACCGUGAAGCGAGCCACCUGGGAAGUACGGCCGCAAGGCUGAAACUUAAAGGAAUUGGCGGGGGAGCAC